rnacentral:rRNA from 1 species
GACGUAGGGUCCAAGCGUUGUCCGGAUUUACUGGGCGUAAAGAGCGCGUAGGCGGUCUGUUAAGUGAGAAGUGAAAUCUCCAGGGCUCAACCCGGAAACUGCUUUUCAUACUGGCAGACUUGAGGGAUGCAGAGGUGAAUGGAAUUCCUGGUGUAGCGGUGAAAUGCGUUGAUAUCAGGAGGAACACCGAUGGCGAAGGCAGGUCUCUGGGCCACUACUGACGCUGAGAAGCGAAAGCAUGGGGAGCGAACAGG